AUUAUCGGUACCCCCCUACCCACCAUUGAGGACUUGCACGCUGCCAGAACUAAGACAAGAGCGUGCAAAAUCCUCUCGGACCCUCCGCACCCCGGUCACUAGCUCUUCCAGCUCCUUCCCUCAGAGCCUUGGUGAGAGAGGUAAAGAAGAACCCAAAAAUCACUGUCGCUAAGUUCCAGAGAUGCAGUCGGGAGAUGGGAGAAACUUCUAGAAAGUCAACUGCAGCCCUCCACCAGUCGGGGUUUUAUGGCAGAGUGGCUCGACGGAAGCCUCUCCUCAGUGCAAGACACAUGAAAGCCUGCAUGGAGUUUGCUAAAAAAAAAAACACCAGACAAGAAACUCCAAGAAGGCACUGCUCAUCACCUGUCCAAUACAGUCCCAACAAUGAAGCAUGGUGGUGGCAGCAUCAUGCUGUGGGGGUGUCCUGGACGAAAACCUUCUCCAGAGUGCUCAGAACCUCAGACUGGGCCAAAGGUUCAUCUUCAAAAAAGACAAUGACCCUAAGCGCACAGCUAAAAUAACGAAGGAGUGGCUUCAGAACAACUCUGGGACUGUUCUUGAACCCUGACUUAAACCCAAUUGAACAUCCCUGGAAAGACCUGAAAAUGGCUGCCCACCAACAUUCACCAUCCAACUUGACAGAACUGGAGAGGAUCUGCAAGGAGGAAUGGCAGAGGAUCCCCAAAUCCAGGUGUGAAAAACUUGUUGCAUCAUUCCCAAAAAGACUCAUGGCUGUAUUAGUCAAAAGGGUGCUUCUACUAAUAAAUCUGCAUAAGCGGUAGAAAAUGGAAGUUUUUUUCUGCCAAU